GAAAUGCGAGGCCUGCGCGGCCUGCUCGCGGCAAUUUCCGGCCUGGUGGGCGGAUCGGGGCUCGGCUUGUGUUGUGCCCGAGUCGUCGCGGGUCGGGGGCGUUUGGCCCGCUCUGCCGAAGGCCCAGCGCCUGGAGCGGAGCCGGACGCACGGGGCGCCCAGCGUUGGCCGAAUGCUGACAGCCUCGCCGACAGGUGCUUAGGGGCCGCGGUGAGAGCGGCCGCGGGACGGCCGCGGCCUCGGCCGGUGGCUCGGUGCGAAGGCGGAGCAGGCUGGUGGUACAGGGACUCUGGCGCUCUCGUGCGUUUGCUUAAAACAAAAGACAAAACCCAGGGAGCAGGUGUGACAAAAAGUUAGGUUUGAUGCUGGAUGGUGGGAAUGGGGGUGCGGGCUUCUUUGCACUUUCCUCUCGCCUUCAGUUUUCUGAGAAGAAAAAGUAAGAAUAGCACCUCGGAAAACUCUGGGGACUUCUAAGUCCAAACGGUUUUAUCAGUCCUGUUAUCGGGCCCCAGAGACCAAGCUCUGGAGUUGCGAUGUUACAGAAAUGAACACUGAACUGGAAAGAAAGCAGUUUAUUAGAUAGAUACAAGGGAGCUGACAAGAAAGAGGAAUGUCAGCUCCCCGAGGGGGUUGUGCGUAAGGCUUUUAAAGGCAUCUAAAGAGGGUGAGGGUUCUGGCCGGAGCGGUGUUGAUGAAUUGUUCCGGACGUUACCUCCGUCGUUCUGGUGCCUCCGCUUAGUGGUCAGCAGAUGUUAACUGACAGGCUUUCCCAAAACAUGGUCAGGGACCUCCCUUGAUGUUUCUAUAAGAUAAACAGACACAAAAUAAUUUUUGUAAUUUCUUUCUUCCCCAAGGCAAUGAUUCUUAUUGCAAAAACAGGGACUGGGCAUUGAUCCUUGGGAGUGUUCGUUCUGGCUUAAGAUUUGGCUGGCUGGUUGUUGACCGUAUGGCCAGUUUAUGGCUUACGAUACAUUUUUCUUAGAAGACAUUUUGGGAAUUUUUACCUUUUAACCUUUAAGCCUCAAGAUGGAGGUUUAACUUAAAAUGGAGUCCCUCUUGUUCUUCCUUAUGCUGGCUCACGUCCAGUCUGACAAAGGUCACAGCUACUCAGUCACGUGGGUGAAGAGGCCAAGGUGCAGAGAGAGGAGCGGCUGGCUUUUCCUGUGUUCCUUAGUUGCCGGCCCCCAGGGAGGCCCUGGAACUCUGGCGUAGCUCCCGCUUUGGCCCUGCAGUCCCCGCAGUCUGCCCUGGGUGGAGGGCUGGAGCCUGUGGCCUCCUCAAGUGGGGUGCAGCCUGUGCAUCACAUUUGUGAGGACCAAGCCUCUAUUUUGCUUUGCUACCUUUAAAAGCGUUCAUAGUGUUGAAUGCACACUUGCUGUGUGCCCUGCCUGGUGCCAGCUGCAGGAGGAGGCAAACAGCCAAAUCCAGAAUGUGGGAUGUUUGGACCAUGACCCAGCUAGUUAAUUAAGGCCUGGAGGUAAAAAAAAAGGAAGUAAGGCUGUUUGAGAAUAAAAGGGUUUAGAAUACCUCAUCUGUGGAAUGUGUGGACCUUACCUGGAUCACGGUCAAACAAGCCACCUGUAAAGACAUUUAUGAGGCAGUAGGGGACAUUUUAAUAUAAAUAGUAUUAGGUGAUAAUAUUUACUGAUAUUUUUGUUAGGGAGAGAUAAUGGCCUGGUGGUUAGUUAAAAAUGUCCUAAUAAUCAUUUAGAGAUGCAAAUGGAAUUACUUGCAGUAAAUUGCCAGUGUGUGGGAUUUGCUUUAUAAAUACUCUGGUUAAAAAAAAAUGAUAAAAACCCGAAUGGCAAAAUUGAUUGAAGUGGCAAAGUUAAAAUUGGAUGAGGAAUACAAUGGGAAUCAUGACUUGUAUGUUUGAAAUUUUUUGUAAUACAGUUUAAAAUGAUGGUAUUCAUGUUUCUCAUUGGCUGUGACCAGUGAGAAGUCACUUAAUUGCUCGUGGCUUUGAUCUCACCUGUAAAACUGGGGUCAUAAUUUAUUCUGUUUAUUCUGAGAUUUAAAAGCAAUACAAAUACUCAUUUCCUAACUCUUCUUGGGGCUUAGAAUCAGAAGGGCAUCUUGGCCAUAAAUAGCUCAUGGUGCAGCAUGGGGGCAGUCAACAGUUAUAGUGACUGUGUUCUGAGACAGAGACAAGCACAGGUUGUCGCAGUGGCAGUGCCACCCUGGGGACACUGAACCACCGGUGGUCUAGGCCAGUCAAAGCCACGCUCUGGAUGUGUAUCCAAAUGAUGAAUUUCCCUGAACAGCAGCCUUCCUGUCCUGCCGCCUCAUGGCCCCAGAGGGAACUGUGUCCAGAGGUGUCAUUUUCCGUGGGCUCUUGGGAGCCUGCUCUCGUAGUUCCGUGAGGUCUGGAACUUCCCGACCUGAGUGAGAGUCCUCUCCACGUGGAGAUGAGGCUGUGUGUGUGGGAAGACUCCUGGAUAACCCCACGGAAUGCGCUUCCAGCAAAAGGUGCGGGUGGCCUGGGCAGGGCCUGCAGGAAAGAACAAGCUAAACGGCACAUGGAGCCGCCAGCAGGGAUAGGGUGAUGCUUACAAAGAAAAGCGUCCUCAGGAGAAGGUUGUGCGGAUGGAUCAGUAGCACGUCGCCGUGGGUGUGAUGUUUGUAAGGGCGGCCGUAGGUGCCAAGCUCUGUGCAGAUGUCCCUUCUCAGAUCAGCCCCAAACAGGGCGAGGAGGGGACGACCUGGCCAGGUUAGGUAAUUUGCUCAAGGUCAUGCAGGCAGGAAAAGGCAGCUUCUGUGUAUUUGCCCCAACGGAUCCCAGCUUCCAGGUGACUGUCAGGGCUGAAGUCAGAACCCACUCAGUCUCGUGUAGAGUCAUGGCUGUUGCCCAGUUGCACCAUCAUCAUUGGUUUUUUUUGGCCCUCGGCAGGGCCAGGGCCUUAUAUCCAAGUCUGGAAAUAAACAAAUUUUUGAAGAUGUGGGUAUGAUGACUGUGGUGGGCACAGUUCUAGGAAGGGGCCCCAAGAUACCCACCCUCUCAUUCACUCAAAUGGUAAUCCAGGUGCUGUGGAGGGAGAAAGACUCAGAUCCGCUGCUGGUCUAAGCUGGAGGGGAGCAGGGACGGGUGGGGGGCGUUGGGGGCCUCCUAACAACAGAGAGUGGUCCCAGCUGGCUGCCCGCAAGGAAAUGAAGACCUCAGGCCUGCUGUCCCAAGGAGCGGAACUCAGUAGCCUGCACAAGCCCCCGGAAAAGAGCCCAGCCCGGCCGGCACCUUGAUCUUGGCCUUGUGAGACCUGGAGUGGAGAAUCCAGCUUCAUUAACUAAGCCGCAUAGUAACCCAUGAGGAUAUGGGGAAACUGAGAGAUACGCUCAUAUACUGUUGUCAUAGUGCUGGAAAAUAGCCUGUAAAUACUUACUAAAAUUAUAAAUACACACAUGCACAUUUCAGUAGAAAGUCCCACGUAUCUUAAAUAAACACCAGGGUAUGUACGGAUGUGAACGCAGGGAUGUUCAUUAUGGCAUGGUGUUGCCGGAAAGAAGUCAAACGAUCCAGAUGUCUUCAGGAGGUGAUCUGUUGACCAAAUGAUGAUGUACACAUACUAUGGCAUAUUAUGCAGUCAUUAAAAAUAGCUCUAACUUGAAAAAAAUAAAUCCAUAGCUUUUUAGUUUUACUAAAUUAUUGUUAACCACUGAUAGAUGAUGGAUGAACAAAAUAUAUACACAGAAUGAAAUAUUCAGCAUUAAAAAGGGAGAAAAAUUUAACGUUCUGCAACAUGGAUGAAACUUGAAAACAUCAUGCCAAGUGCAGUGAGCCGGACAACGAAAGGACAGGCACUGUGGGUUCACUUGUAGGGGUCACCCAGGAGAGGCGAGUCCACAGAGACAGGAGGUAGGUAGUGUGGUUGUUACCGGGGGCCGAGAGGGGGCGGGAGGUUGGGACGGAGUGUUCAUGGGGACGGUUCCUGUUUGGGAACAUUCUGGAGAUGACGGCAGGGAUGGUCAAGCAACACAGUGAAUGCACUUAAUAUCACUGAAUUAGGAGAGAAAUGCGCAUGGCUCAGCAUGAGCAUGGCUGUGCACACACCUCCAGCAUGUGCCAGUCCUUGGAGGCACGGAGCAGGUGGGGAG